rnacentral:rRNA from 1 species
CAGCCGCCGCGGGAAUACGUAGGUGGCAAGCGUUGUCCGGAAUUAUUGGGCGUAAAGGGCUCGCAGGCGGUUUCUUAAGUCUGAUGUGAAAGCCCCCGGCUCAACCGGGGAGGGUCAUUGGAAACUGGGAAACUUGAGUGCAGAAGAGGAGAGUGGAAUUCCACGUGUAGCGGUGAAAUGCGUAGAGAUGUGGAGGAACACCAGUGGCGAAGGCGACUCUCUGGUCUGUAACUGACGCUGAGGAGCGAAAGCGUGGGGAGCAAACAGGAUUAGAUACCCCGGUAGUCCCUGUCUCUUAUAC